rnacentral:tRNA from 1 species
GGAUACUGAAGUAAAAAUAGUUACAUUUAGUUUCGGCCUAAACUUAGAAAUAAUUUCCUUAUCCA